GUCAGCCACUGCAAACUCAAACCUUGCUAACAGCUAACGCUGCUACCUCUGUGUAGAAAUGACAUGCUAGAGCACUCUCAUCUUCCUUGGACGGUUAAUUUCUCUGUACUUCAGGUAUCGCUUCUUGCGAACUUGUCCCUUGUUGGUCUACUGAUAUCUCAGGUGCCAGUGUGGUGUUGCGGUGGGUCCUGGAGCACAACUAGCCUGAAGGUGACUCCUAACCCAGCUCACUUACAGACUGCUGUGUAUGUGUGAGGAGUCUCUGGCUUCUGUUUCUC